rnacentral:tRNA from 1 species
ACUGACUUGUAAUCAGUAGGUCGACUUGUAAUCAGUAGGUCACCAGUUCGAUUCCGGUAGUCGGCACCA